CUCCUCUCAGGGUCACACCUGGAGAGUUCCCAGUACUCUACCAGUCUUGACUACAGGAGGGAAAGUCAGGCAGAGGCAGACCCAUUCCAUUCAUAGCUUGGUAAGUGCCUAGUGAGUCGAAGGCAAUCUGCUAUACGU